GACGAACGCUGGCGGCGUGCCUAACACAUGCAAGUCGAGCGAUGAAGCUCCUUCGGGAGUGGAUUAGCGGCGGACGGGUGAGUAACACGUGAGUAACCUGCCUCAAAGUGGGGGAUAGCCUUCCGAAAGGAAGAUUAAUACCGCAUAACAUCAUUUAACCGCAUGGUUGAAUGAUCAAAGAUUUAUUGCUUUGAGAUGGACUCGCGGCGCAUUAGCUAGUUGGUGAGGUAACGGCUCACCAAGGCAACGAUGCGUAGCCGACCUGAGAGGGUGAUCGGCCACAUUGGGACUGAGACACGGCCCAGACUCCUACGGGAGGCAGCAGUGGGGAAUAUUGCGCAAUGGGCGAAAGCCUGACGCAGCAACGCCGCGUGAGUGAUGAAGGUCUUCGGAUUGUAAAGCUCUGUCUUCAGGGACGAUAAUGACGGUACCUGAGGAGGAAGCCACGGCUAACUACGUG
rnacentral:rRNA from 1 species